UGGGCGGACAGGGAAGGUGCUGUCCGUUCGGCAAUCCGCCGCCGCGGCCGAACCGUGCCAAAUGGGUAGUGGUUUCGGGGUGGGGCGUGAUAGAUUCGAAGUGUGGACGUUUCGCGGAUUUGGGACGUGGCGUUCGUGGAUUCGGACGUGUGGCGUGGACAAUCCAUUGGUGUGCGCGAGAUCCGGAGAAGAUAAAAGAGAGGUUUGAGUCCGUGGAUUCGGUAAAUCACCUUGUAAUCUUUUAUUCUUAGUGGAUUGUUAUCGCGUGUUGGUCCCGUGGGUUUUUUACUCCAAGUUGGAGUUUUCCUACGUAAACCUUGGUGUGAUUUUUAUUUUUCGCAUUUAUUUUUAUUGCAUUGAGAUUUGUGGUUUUUGGCUAUUACACCUAUUCACCCCCCUCUAGGUAUUAAAUACAAUCUAGAUAGAUCCUUGGGCUCCUCAAAAUAGGUGUCGACUUUGUUAACGGUCCAUUAUUAUGUUAUGAAUUUUAUGUUGGCAUAUUUCGUGAAGUAAGUCGGAGUCUUGAAAGUUUGAAGAAGAAGAGAUGAAGAUCGAAGACUCGAAGACUCAAAACAUGAAUGCACAAUGCUCGGUAAGUUUAAAUACUAUUGAUGAUGAUUUAUAAACGUUUAAAAGUGUUUGGAAGACUUGGGAUGGUUUUAAAAUAUGAAUUUGGACAAGACUGAGCCUUUCAAGGUUCGGGGACCGGUCCCUGAACUGAGGGACCAGACCCUGUAGGUCCUCUCUGCGUAAAGAAAUGAUGCAACCAGUCCCUAAGAUGAGAGACCGGUUCCCGUAGCAAGGUUUUUUAGCUACGCAACGAGAGACCGGUCCCUGAGAUGAGAGACCGGUUCCCGUGGCAUGUGCAUGUGUUUUCUGCUACGCAACGAGGGACGGGUCCCUGGCUUGGAGGAUCGGUCCUCGAGGGACCGGACCCUUCGGAAGGACCGGACCCUGAGACCAAUUUUUGUUUUUAAAAAUCAGGUUUUCAAAUCCUAGUCUAUCUCUAAGUCUUCUAAACCUAUAAAUAAGAUUUAGAGGUGUUUCUAAAGGAUGGCUAAGCAUAGAAUAUUUUUUUAAAAACCCUAGAAACUUGUUGGGUGCUCUCUUUCUUUCUCCAACAACAAGUUUCUAUUGGAUCAAUUCUUGAAACCCUAAUUUCUUGUUCUUCAUGGAGAAUUGAUCCGGCUAUUACUUAGAAAUAUCUUCUACGGUUCAUUCAUGAUUAUCUAAGCAAUAAAUCAUCAUCGAUCGUAUUGUUCUUGCUCCGGACGGAGUGUGCUCAUAGAUUCGAGUGGGCGUCAUGGAUUCGGCGUGAUCAAGGCUUCGUGGAUUCGAAGUGUGGACGUUUCGUGGAUUCGGGAGGUGGCGUUCGUGGAUUCGGAUGUCACGACCCGCCAAUUUGGCCGGGUUGCGGCGCCGCCGACAGACCGCCGAACGGACAGAGUUUCCCCUGUACGUCCUAGGCGUCGCAAUUAAUACAAUACGAGAGGUUCCAAAUACGAACAGUAUUCAUUCACAGAUUGCAUAAGGAAGUAUCGAAAACAUAAACUGCUAAGUUAUUACAGUAUUCAACUUAGAUGCAUUUUACAACAUAAUUUUUCUUUUACCCCUAACCUCCAAAUGCAACCAUAAUUAUUACAGAUUCUUUUACAACUUAAACAAAAGUUUGUUCUUGUCUUUAAACCUCCCAAGCUAGACCACCAACUCGGGUACUGCUAUCUCAGUCUCUGGGUAGGACGUUAUCUGCAGAACUACGUCCUCGCCUUGCGCCGCCGCGCCGCACACGUGUGUACCCGUACCCCCAAAACAGCAACACGGGGGUGAGACUAUUGUCCAUAGUCCUCAGUGGGUUUAGCCACCCAAGAGAACAAGCUCAGCCAACAGGUCUAACGAGGCACUGCAACAUGUUAGAUCAACAAUAUAUAACAGAUAUAUAUAUUCAAUUGAAAUACAUAUCAUGCCUCACAAAAUGCAAUAUGCAAUACCUGGAAUCAUGCAAGUAGGUUACUUUAACGCUACUUAUGUUCUUAAUCAUUCUUUACUCUUUGCCAUUUAAUGCUUACUUUUACCUCUUAGCUAUUCCUUUCUUUAGCUAUUCAUUAUUCUUUAGCCAUUCUUUGUUCUUUAGCUAUUCUUUACUCUUAACAUUCUUGAACCAUGCUAUAUCUUAGCCUUUGGCAUUCUACUCUAAGGUCACUUUACCUUAGUCAACAAAGCCACCCGACUCGGUCUUGAGUCAAUCAAUCGCGGAUAGUCCGCGCACUGUCUAGCUCGAGGUGAAGGAACUCUCACAUGCACCUCAGCUGGCAACAGCUCACCGUACUCCUGUCCUAGCCGUCUGGCGGCGAACGAAUCGCACCUCACCCAACAACGGCCUAGGUUCAAUGACUUAGUCACCCGGCGGCGAAAUCGUCGCACACACGCCACGACAGUGGUUCAGUCAACAGGCGGUAGGAUCCACAAACUGGCUAACCAUCCGGCGGCGAAAUCGUCGCACACACGCCACGACAAUGGUUCUCUAGCCCCUGGGCGGCGAAAUCGUCGCACACACCCGACACCACUUUGGGUGUAGCAGCAAGCAGCGGGAUUCCGGAAUCCAUAUCACAUCAACCAAGGGUUGGUCUUAACCCUAUGGAACUGACCUCUCUAGGUCUAAGCAUUUAUCUCCUAGGUCCAAUCGACUCUAGGUUCAUUGUCCUUUACACAACCUAAGUUAUUACUUUAGGUUUAUUGCUUUCACAUUCUUAACCUAGGUUUAUUACACUAGGAUCAUCAUUCUUUUCCAACCUAGGUUUACUUGACUCUAGGUUAAGCAGCUUUCAUUUCACAACCUAUGUCCUUUACAUUAGGUUCAACAUCCCUCUUAUUUAACCUAUGUUCUUUACAUUAGGUUCAACAUCUCAUUUAUUUAACCUAUGUCCUCGACACUAGGUUUAAUGCCACUCGAUCUAUAGGUUUAUUCAUGUCCACCUAUAUAUGUUCCUUACUUAGCAUUCUUAACAUGCACUUGCAUUUACUAUUCUUAUAUCAUGCUUAUCACUUAUACUUUAGCAUAGCAUCAUUCACUUUAAUCAUUCUAGGGUUAUCAACCUAGUUUCAUGCACAUUUAUCUCACAAUGUCAACAUGCAUUCUAUAUCUCAUUUUAACUUAUAUCAUCAAUAUGCAUUUCAUUCUAUGCAUUAUGCUUACAUGCAUUCACAUAAUUAUCUAGCUUUAUUCAACAUGCUCAUAAUGCAUUCUAUUUAGCAAUUACAUCACACUAUCAUCAUGCAUUAUUUAGCUACAUGCAUCAUUUACAUUUAUAUGCAUCAACUUUAGCAUCUACAUCAUAUUAUGCAUUUCUACUUAGCAUCAACUAUGCCGAUCAUCAACAUGCAUCAACAUGAAAGUCUAAUAAUUAGACAUAAAGGCGACCUAGUCGCUUCGGUAAACCAACCCACCUUAACACGCGCUCCGAUUGCUUGUAGUCACUUGCAAUCGGCCUCCCGCGGCAACCGUUGCCCGGUUUGGCCCGAACUCUUGCGCGACUUAGCAAACGACCUCCGAACCGCGAUCCGUCUUUUCCGGAGUUUAUUCCUUGACUCCAAGGUGCUCCAGUUCCGAUCUCAUGAUUUUUAGACCUUUAUUCCGCGUGCUGCGGCUAUCUGUACCAAAACCGACCGUUUCGUCAAUAACUUCGCGUACGCUCGUCGGAUUGCCGAACCGAGCGCACCAACGCGUUCGUUAGGCCCCCAAUUAGGUUUCUAUAAGGCCAAUUUGCCUUAAAAACACCCGGAGGCAAAAGCCCCAAUUUCGGUGCCCUAACAAUGCCAUAAUCAAAUUUCUUGGGAUUGAUCUCAUAGCUAAGCAUAAUUAAGCUUAGAACCACCCAAGAAGCUCUCUAAACUUGUUUCCAUCUCAUUAGAAUCAUUCCUAGGGCAUUUAAAACAAACCCUAGGAUUCCACCAUUAGAGCCUCAUGAAGAACAACAUGGAUUUCAUGUGUUCUAGGUCUCUACAAGGUUCUAAACACAUUAGAAGCUUCAAAUCUCUAAGUUUUAGGGUUUAAAAACCAAACCCUAACCCAAUCCUACCAUGAGAGGUGAUAGGAACUUACCUCUCAAGCUCCUCCAAGCAUGAGGAAGAUGAAGGUGGAGGCAAUCAUCUUCUUCUCCAUCCUUUUCUUCUUAUUCCUUGCUUCUCUUCUCCUUUCUUCUUUUCUCUUUCUUCUUCUUCUCUUCUCUUUGCUAUGCACGGUUGAGAGAGGGAGAGAAAGACACGAGAGGGAGAGAGAGAGAGAGCUGGGGUUAUAACAUAUUGUAACAAUUGCCAAAAGACCCCUCAAACAUUCCUAUUUGCAACAGGUCAAUUCUAUGCUGUUUGGGCUCCUUGUACCGGUACACGGUUUCCUGUACCGGUACAAGGCCUGGCAGACAGCUCAACCCGAGAGCUGGCUCUCUCGGUUGCGCAGUGCUUGUACCGGUACAAGACCCCUUGUACCGGUACAAGACCCCUUGUACCGGUACAAGGCCUGGCAGCUCCAAGCCACUGUACUACGCUGGUUGUACCGGUACAACCAUUGGUCUUGUACCGGUACAAGACACCCAGAAAGUCAUUUUUGACUUCGAUUCCGCUCUAUUUCGCGUCGUUCAAUGCCAAAACCCUUCCAACUCAUUUAGAGCUUAUUUUUAACCCUUCCAACAGUGUUGGAACGUUAAUGGAUCGCGUCCAACCGAUCCCUUCGAGUACUUUAGUCAAUUAGGCUAAAGUCCACAAUAUUUCACCGAGAUCUCGGGGGUUACAUCGGACGUGGGGCGUGGACAACCCGUUGGUGUGCGCGAGAUCCGGAGAAGAUAAAAGAGAGGUUUGAGUCCGUGGAUUCAGUAAAUUACCUUGUAAUCUUUUAUUCUUAGUGGAUUGUUAUCGCGUGUUGGUCC
rnacentral:lncRNA from 1 species